rnacentral:rRNA from 1 species
UUUGGAUAACUGUGGUAAUCCUAGAGCUAAUACAUGCACUCAAGUCCCGACCAGUCUGACUGGGAAGGACGCUUUUAUUAGAUCAAGACCAAUCGCUCGGCUCGUUCGGGCGUAGCCUUGGUGACUCUAGGUAACACAUCAGAUCGCAUGGUCUCUGCACCGGCGACUUAUCCUUCAAAUGCCUGACUUAUCAACUGUCGAUGGUAGACUCUAUGUCUACCAUGGUUGUAACGGGUAACGGGGAAUCAGGGUUCGAUUCCGGAGAGGGAGCCUGAGAAACGGCUACCACAUCCAAGGAAGGCAGCAGGCACGCAAAUUACCCACUCCCGGCACGGGGAGGUAGUGACAAAAAAUAACGAUACGGGACUCUUAUGAGGCCCCGUAAUCGGAAUGAGUACACUUUAAAUCCUUUAACAAGGAUCCAUUGGAGGGCAAGUCUGGUGCCAGCAGCCGCGGUAAUUCCAGCUCCAAUAGCGUAUAUUAAAGUUGUUGCGGUUAAAAAGCUCGUAGUUGGUUCUGCGUGCUACGCUGUCGGUUCGCCGCCUGCCGGUGUAACUGGCAUGCCGUGGCAUGUCCUGUCGGUGGCGUGCGGGAGCCUUGUCUAGGUGUCGGCCCUUGCCCAAAGCUUGGUGCCGGAGGCCGGAGGUCCAACCCGUGCGCCUUCUCUAUCCUACCUAGGUGCUCUUCACCGAGUGUCGAGGUAGGCCGACACGUUUACUUUGAACAAAUUAGAGUGCUCAAAGCAGGCUGAAAUCUCUGCCUGAAUAGUGGUGCAUGGAAUAAUAAAACAGGACCUUGGUUCUAUUUUGUUGGUUCUUAGGAACACAAGGUAAUGAUCAAUACGGACAGGCGGGGGCAUUCGUAUUGCGUCCUCCGAUGAGGCGGGGCCGGGAAACCAAAGCUUUUGGGUCCCGGGGGAAGUAUGGUUGCAAAGCUGAAACUUAAAGGAAUUGACGGAAGGGCACCACCAGGAGUGGAGCCUGCGGCUUAAUUUGACUCAACACGGGAAACCUCACCAGGCCAGGACAUUGGAAGGAUUGACAGAUUGAUAGCUCUUUCUUGAUUCAGUGGGUAGUGGUGCAUGGCCGUUCUUAGUUGGUGGAUCGAUUUGUCUGGUUAAUUCCGAUAACGAACGAGACUCUAGCCUAUUAACUAGGCGUUUACCGGUGUCCUCGCCACCGGCGACACUCAUUCUUCUUAAGGGGACAGGCGGCUUAUAGCCGCACGAGAUUGAGCAAUAACAGGUCUGUAAUGCCCUUAGAUGUCCUGGGCCGCACGCGCGCUACACUGAAGGAAUCAGCGUGUGCCUCCCUGGCCGAAAGGCCCGGGUAAUCCGCUGAACCUCCUGCGUGCUAGGAAUUGGGGCUUGCAAUUGUUCCCCAUGAACGAGGAAUUCCCAGUAAGCGCGAGUCAUAAGCUCGCGUUGAUUACGUCCCUGCCCUUUGUACACACCGCCCGUCGCUACUACCGAUUGAAUGAUUUAGUGAGGUCUUCGGACUGGCGGUAAUCCCUAUCGACUUGUCGGUAUCGAUGAACGCUGGAAAGAUGACCAAACUUGAUCAUUUAGAGGAAGUAAAAGUCGUAACAAGGUUUCC